GGGGGUACGUUAUCGGAAUAUUGAGGCGUAAGCGCGCGCAGGCGGUCUCUUAAGUCUGAUGUGAAAGCCCACGGCUCAACCGUGGAGGGUCAUUGGAAACUGGGAGACUUGAGUGCAGGAGAGAAAAGUGGAAUUCCACGUGUAGCGGUGAAAUGCGUAGAGAUGUGGAGGAACACCAGUGGCGAAGGCGGCUUUUUGGCCUGUAACUGACGCUGAGGCGCGAAAGCGUGGGGAGCAAACAGGAUUAGAUACCCUGGUAGUCCACGCCGUAAACGAUGAGUGCUAGGUGUUGGGGGGUUCCACCCUCAGUGCUGAAGUUAACACAUUAAGCACUCCGCCUGGGGAGUACGACCGCAAGGUUGAAACUCAAAGGAAUUGACGGGGGCCCGCACAAGCAGUGGAGCAUGUGGUUUAAUUCGAAGCAACGCGAAGAACCUUACCAGGUCUUGACAUCCUCUGACCACUCUAGAGAUAGAGCUUUCCCCUUCGGGGGACAGAGUGACAGGUGGUGCAUGGUUGUCGUCAGCUCGUGUCGUGAGAUGUUGGGUUAAGUCCCGCAACGAGCGCAACCCUUGACCUUAGUUGCCAGCAUUCAGUUGGGCACUCUAAGGUGACUGCCGGUGACAAACCGGAGGAAGGUGGGGAUGACGUCAAAUCAUCAUGCCCCUUAUGACCUGGGCUACACACGUGCUACAAUGGAUGGUACAAAGGGUUGCGAAGCCGCGAGGCCAAGCCAAUCCCAAAAAGCCAUUCUCAGUUCGGAUUGUAGGCUGCAACUCGCCUACAUGAAGCCGGAAUUGCUAGUAAUCGCGGAUCACCAUGGCCGCGGGUGGAAUACCGUUCCCGGGGCCUUGUACACACCGGCCCGUCACACCACGAAGAGUUUGUAACACCCGAAGUCCGGUGGGGUAACCCCUUUUGGGAGCCAGCCGCCGAAGGUGGGACAGAUGAUUGGGGGUGAAGUCGUAACAAGGUAGCCGUAUCGGAAGGCGGGGGGGGCCCCCCCCUUAUAUAUAUAUAAAAGGGGGAAGGGG
rnacentral:rRNA from 1 species